GCAAGCAAUCUAGCCUAACCAAAAUAACUAAACCCAAUAAACAAAAUAAUCCUACCAAAAUUAACUAAAACAUUUUCAAAAUCAUAGUAUAGGCGAUAGAAAAGAC
rnacentral:rRNA from 1 species